rnacentral:lncRNA from 1 species
GCGCGUUAAAUGCUGACAUAUCCGAGGGCGGUUGCACCGAGACGUCAGAAGGGGAACUUCGACUACGACAACCUCUCUGAACUUUCUUCAUUCGAAAUUCAAACUCGGAAGUGGGGGGACUGGUGUUGGGUAUGAAAUACCCUCGACCGAAGUUUUUGGCGGAAUUGACCCUCACAAGUCUCUUCCGACCUUCGACUGCAAGUUGACUCCACCCGGACUUCUACGAAAGCCGGACUCCGUCCUCAACUUCAACUACCAGUAAGCUCCGCCCGGACUCCUACGGGAGUCGGGCUCCGUCCGCAACUCCAAGGAGGACUCCGCCCGGACUCCUAUGGGAGCCGGGCUCCGUCCGCGACUCCAAGGAAGACUCCGCCCAGACUCCUACAGGAGCCGGGCUCCGUCUG